rnacentral:rRNA from 1 species
UGGGGAAUUUUGGACAAUGGGCGCAAGCCUGAUCCAGCCAUGCCGCGUGCGGGAAGAAGGCCUUCGGGUUGUAAACCGCUUUUGUCAGGGAAGAAAUCUUCUGAGUUAAUACCUCGGGAGGAUGACGGUACCUGAAGAAUAAGCACCGGCUAACUACGUGCCAGCAGCCGCGGUAAUACGUAGGGUGCAAGCGUUAAUCGGAAUUACUGGGCGUAAAGCGUGCGCAGGCGGUUUUGUAAGACAGAGGUGAAAUCCCCGGGCUCAACCUGGGAACUGCCUUUGUGACUGCAAGGCUUGAGUGCGGCAGAGGGGGGAUGGAAUUCCGCGUGUAGCCAGUGAAAAUGCGUAGAUAUGCGGAGGAACACCGAU